rnacentral:rRNA from 1 species
AAGCCCGACAUGUUACGCCGUCUGGCGGAUGACCAGGCUUGAGCGCUGAAGAAGGGCGCGGCAAGCAGCGAAAUGCCUCGGGUAGCUGCAUGCAAGCUUAGAUCCGAGGAUGCCUGAAUGAGACUUCUUGCGACGGACUCCCACGGGACUCCGUUGCGUUCCGUAAGGAACGGGAACUCCCUGAACGGAAAUAUCUUAGUAAGGGAAGGAAAAGAAACCAACCGGGAUUCCCUAAGUAACGUGAGCGAAAGGGGAAAAGUCCAAACCAAACCUCACAGGGAAACCUGAGGGGGAUGUAGUGUUGCGGGUCCAGCCGCCUUCUCACCGGCGAAGCCGAAGUGGCCUGGAAAGGCCUGCCAAAGAUGGUGAAAGCCCAUUAGGCGUAAACCGGAAGGAGAUGGGCUGGAGUCCCUGAGUACCAUACCCUGGAUUCGGUUUGGGAAACUGGGGGUCACCAACCUCCAAGACUAAAUACGUCUCAAGACCGAUAGCGCACUAGUACGGUGACAGAAAGCUGAAAAGUACCCCGGAAGGGGGGUGAAAAGAGCCUGAAACCAGACGGUUAUAGACGUUUGCAGCCCGGAAGGAUAGAUCCCUCCCAAAGGAACCUGUGGCGACACAGCAGUACGAAGGAGGGGGACCAGGGUUGCAAGUUCCGUCUAGAAACACGGGCCGGGGAGUUCAUGGUCGUGGCAAGCUUAAAGGCUGACAAGCCUGUAAGCAUAGGGAAACCAACAUGCGCGCAACCAGCCAAGCGCUGGUGAGGCGCGGGGUCUGAAAGGGCCCGGAGUCACGGCUUUGACACUAGAAACCGGACGAUCUAGCCCUGGGCAGGGCGAAGUCAGGCGAAAGCCUGGUGGAGGCCCGAAGGAGUGCUGACGUGCAAUUCGUUUCUCAGACCUGGGGCUAGGGGCGAAAGACCAAUCUAGUCCGGUGAUAGCUAGUUCCCUCCGAAGUGGGUCGCAGCCCAGCCCCGAGCGAGGUAGCCGAUGGGGUAGAGCACUGAUUGGGAAGUAAGGGGUCGAAAGACCUCCCUUUUCUUUCAAACUCCGAAUCCAUCGGCGCCGUAGACCUUGGGAGACGGGAUCUGGGGGGUAAGCCCCCAGUCCGAGAGGGGGACAACCCAGACUGAGGUUAAGGCCCCAAAGUGCUGGCUAAGUGUCAAACUGAAAGGCGUCAUCAGCCCCAGACAGCGGGGAGGUAGGCUUAGAAGCAGCUAUCCUUUAAAGAAAGCGUAACAGCUCACCCGCCGAGGCUGAUGGCCCUGAAAAUGGACGGGGCUAAGCCAGCCGCCGAUACCCCAGAGUGCAGCCUAGCGCUGCAAUCCGGUAGGAGGGCGUCCCGACUGGGCGGAAGCCGGGCCGUAAGGUCCGGUGGACCGGUUCGGGAUUGCAUAUCCCGGUGGUAGUAACAGCAAAGAGAAGUGAGAAUCUUCUCCGCCGAAAGGGCAAGGGUUCCCCAGCAACGCGUCGUCAGCUGGGGGUAAGUCGGUCCUAAGGCCGAUCUUAACUGAGGAGGCCGAAAGGGAAGCCGGUUAAGAUUCCGGCACCACGGAGGUACACGCGGCGACGCAAGCCCAACAUCUGACGCUUCGGGAUAGGCUGAGCAAGGCUGUCGCCUUGUUUAACCGUAUAAGCCUGGGGAGUGCCGUAAUGGCGAGAACCAGGUGAAAGCGGGAAUAGCCGCCCGUUUUAGGGCGGUUCAGCUGAUUUCUGGAGCCCUUGAAAAGGAUGUUGGGAAGGAUCCUCUGUGACCGUACCCAGAUCCGACACAGGUGCCCCUAGGCGAGGAACCUAAGGCGUGUCGGGUGCACACCAAGCGAGGGAACUCGGCAAAUUAGCCCCGUAACUUCGGGAUAAGGGGUGCCUGCGGUUUUGGCUUCGGCUGGGACUGCAGGUCGCAGUGACAAAGGGGUCUCGACUGUUUAAUAAAAACACAGGAAGCCGCAAGCCCGAAAGGGUGUGAACGGCUUCUGAAUCCUGUCCAGUACAGGUACCUGAAAUCUGGGUUCAACCGGACCAAGGGCCUGCAAACGACGGGAGUAACUCUGACUCUCUUAAGGUAGCCAAAUGCCUUGUCGGGUAAGUUCCGACGCGCAUGAAUGGAGCAACGAGGGCCCCGCUGUCCCCGCUUGGUACCCGGUGAACCCACGUAACGUGGACGAACAGUCCACGGACUCCCAGCGGGAAAAGAAGACCCCGUGGAGUUUUACUGCAGCCUGUCGCUGGGAUAUGGCUGCGGAUGCAGAGUGUAGGCGGGAGCCGUUAAUCUCAGUCUCUCUGGGGACUGGGGGAGGCGCCAAUGGAACACCGCCCUUUCGUGUCCGUGUCUCUUACCGGCGCUUCGGCGCUGGGACAACGGUUGGUGGGCAGUUUGGCUGGGGCGGCACCCCCUUGAAAAAAUAUCGAGGGGGCCCAAAGGUCGGCUCAGGCGGGACAGAAACCCGCCGCAGAGUGCAAAGGCAAAAGCCGGCCUGACUGGAUCCUCCAAAGCAAGGGAUCCAGAGGCGAAAGUCUGGCUUAGCGAACAUCCAGAUCCUCUUUGGUGGGGGUUGGAUAUGUCAGAAAAAUUACCCCGGGGAUAACAGGCUCGUCGCGGGCGAGAGUUCACAUCGACCCCGCGGCUUGGUACCUCGAUGUCGGCUCUUCCUAUCCUGGUCCUGCAUAAGGGGCCAAGGGUGAGGCUGCUCGCCUAUUAAAAGGGAACGUGAGCUGGGUUUAGACCGUCGUGAGACAGGUCGGACUUUAUCUGCUGGGAGUGCUGGUCGCCUGAGGGGAAAGGGUUCCCAGUACGAGAGGAACGGAACGUUGUAGCCAAUAGUCUACCGGUUGUCCGACAGGGCACUGCCGGGCAGCCACGCUGUCGCGGAUAAGAGCUGAAAGCAUCUAAGCUCGAAGCCGCUCCCGAAAAUAGGCGGCCAUUCCAUGACACGAGACUUGGCGACAGGCCUCAGUCAUGGACGAGGGCCCCCAUAGAAGAUGGGGUUGAUGGAGCCGGGGUGUACGCAUCAAGGCUUCGGCCGAGGUGUUUAGCCCGUGGCCCCCAACAGCCCGAGGUGUCGGGCUG